rnacentral:tRNA from 1 species
UGUCCCAUGGACUAGUUGGUUAUGGCAUCUGCUGUUCUGAAUUUCUUGCUUUCAUGUCAACGUCAGAAAAUCGAGAGUUCAAAUCUCUCUAGGACAG